rnacentral:snRNA from 1 species
AUGUAGUGAAAUUCAAAACUAUAC